rnacentral:lncRNA from 1 species
CGUCUCACACCGCCCAUCAACUGUGGCUGAGAUAGAGACUUUCUGUACCGUCACUCUGCAGGGAAACAGUCUGACUGUUUCCAAAUGAAAUCAAAGUGUCUCUUUCAGGCCAACAUACACAGAAAAGCUCACAGCUUUAGGCUCAACUUUGAGUUGAAGGACUGACAAAAUAGGAGUAGAAAUCACUUAGUUUAAAUCAUGAAAACUGUGAAAGAUCCAGACGUAAAGUAAAGACGUGAGUCAUGUAUGGGGAAAGGAAAUAAAGGUAGUCGAGGGUUAUUUUUCUUCUUCUGAUGACAGGGGGAGAUAAAUAUAAUGGAGCGGAAAUGGAAAAUGAACCCCCACACGUUCCUCAAACCAGCCGUGUGCUGAAGUUUUCAUUUGUCGUUCUCAAUGUGAGAGGUUCAAGUUUAGGUAUGAGCAGAGAGGGCAGGAGAGCUGCAGGACAUGAUUUAGAAAAUCAAAAACGUACAAAAAGCUCACGAGGAAACUCGGGCAACUGUUGAAUUUGUCUCUCGAAGAAGAAAAUUUGACGUGAUUGUAUUUGUAAAUGUUGCAUGGCUCUUUCAUAAUAUAGAAAUAGAGAAAGUCAGAGCAUCAAAUGUUCUCUGAAGACCCUCCUGUGAACAACUGAGUUAAAAGUGGGUUACUGUGUGUGUGUUUUUUUUGGUGCUUUGACCUUUGACCUGUCUACCCCUAAGCAAACAUGCUGUGAUUAAUACAAACAAACCAAAUCUGUCCGACAGUCAGAGGGGAAGAAAAUAUAAUAAUUGUAAAAAUCUCCUUAAAGUCCUAAAACGAUCAUUUAUGAGCCUCACAGAGUCAGACAUGUUUAGUUUAUCUUUAAGGUUUUUAAGGAGUCACACCUGGUGAUAAGUUUAAGAAACUGGAUACUGUGGGAAAAAAUCAAACCACUGAUGUGUAACCUGGAACUAAAGCUGAGUAAAUAAGCAAGGCAUCAGGCUGCUGUUUCCCACAGUGAGUGAGCUUUGAAGGGUUUAAUACCAGCACUGAGAGUCUUUAAUAAGCACAUUCAACCUGUCGAUGAGCUGCAGAGUUACUUAAACACCACCAGGUUUCAAUCAAUGCCUUAAUUCUGAUUUAUUUACAGGAUUUAUAUGUAAUUUUUUAUUGUUGAGAAUUGACACAAGAGUUCUGAUUUUUAAGCUUUAAGUUCAUGAAAUUGCAAAUAGAUUGAUUCAGCCUGAUAAUAUGAUUUUUUAAUAAAUAAUAAUGAGGGUCUAGAAAAGAAAUAGAAGCCCUCUGCUGUUAUGAAGAUUAAAAAAUCAGAGGGAGUAAAUUUAGAGGAAGGACAACAGACUGCAAAUGCAUUUACCAGAUUAUUUUUCUCUGCAGUCCUGUCCUUUAACUCCCCCCUGUGGUCAGACUCGGUACUGCGUCCUUUGUCUUACAAUAGAUUGUUAUUUUUAUUUUUAUUUUUGUAUCCUUGCUUUAUUGCAUUUUUUCUGUACUAUUGUGUGUUUUAUCUAUACCCCUUUGAGUGGAGCGGUCCUCUCAUCCAGGACAUUUUAUUGCACUGUUGACCUUGUCUAACAUGCACAUGACAAAUAAACAAA